rnacentral:tRNA from 1 species
GCUGUCAUGGCCGAGUGGUUAAGGCAAUGGACUAGAAAUCCAUUGGGGUUUCCCCGCACAGGUUUGAAUCCUGUCGACUGCG